AUGGCCGCUGCCGUGAGCCUUUCCUACCAAAUAGUAAUACACAUCUUCAUGCUCCUCUGCUGCUGCUCCAUAUGGUCUCCACACCUGCCUCGUGCCACCUCCUCCAUUUCUUUCACCUCCAACUUCUCCCAUCCCGACUACGACGGCCGGGACCUCAUCUUCCAGGGCGACGCCUACUACGACUCCCGGUCUCAGACGAUCCAGCUGACCCCGAGCAUCGGGAACAGCGUAGGCCGGGCGUUCCUCGCGGCGCCCGUGCCGCUGUGGGAUGCCGUCACCGGCGAGCUCGCCCGCUUCACCACCUCCUUCACCUUCCAAAUCAAGGUGAACAAUGCAAAUGCCGGCGACGGCUUGGCAUUUUUCCUCGGGCAUUACCCUCCGGCCGACAUUCCCAAGUUCGAGCGUGAGAUGGGCGGCGGGAACCUCGGCCUCUUCAACAAGAGCGUCGGCACAGUCGCUACUGGCGACGAACGAGCCGUGGCCGUUGAGUUUGACACGCACUUGAAUGAUGGCUUCGACCCCAGCGGCAGCCACAUGGGCAUUGAUGUCAACUCCAUCGUCUCACGGGCCUACACCAACGCCACCGUGCCUGGCAGGAACCUAACGUCCGGCCUCACAAUGACUUGCAACAUCACCUACGGUAACGACACAAAAAUCCUGACAGCUCUUCUUCAGAUCGGCGACACGACGUACCGCGUCGACACGACUGUUGACCUCAGGCAGUUCUUGCCUAAUCUAGUGGCCAUCGGCUUCUCCGGUGCCACUGGCGUGGCGCUCGAACUACACCAAAUAGUUUCCUGGUCAUUUGAAUCCACCUUGGAUCCGCCACGGGAGAGCCCUGGGAGUCGCCCUCCUGCACCGAAGACCCUGUUGCCAGUAGAGAUAAUAACUGGACCAGUCAUUGGAGUCAUUGCAAUUGCGUGCAUCUUUGUUGGCAUCCGUCGAUGGCAGCUAUUCACGAGAAAGAGGCGUUACAGAGCUCUUGCCAGGGGCCUUGGGCCUAUUGGUUAUCAUAGGUUGGCAGGUGCAACCAACGAAUUCGCAGAGGAAAACAAGCUUGGGCAAGGAGGUUCUGCCUCUGUUUAUGAGGGCCAACUGGCAAGUCCAAGUAGACCGGUGGCGAUAAAGAUAUUCAAGCAAACAUCAUCACGCGAGGGGAGGAAGGCGUUCGAGGACGAGCUCAAGAUUGCGAGUCGGCUCAGGCACCGGAACCUUGUGGAAUUGAUAGGCUGGUGCUGCGAUGGCCAGAGGAGCCUGGUUGAGUUUAUAUGUUGGUGGCGGGACGACAGGUACACACGUCUCUUCCUUGUGUAUGAGCUUGUGCCACAAGGUAGCCUCGAUCAACACCUACACGAGGGCAAGAGUUGGUUACCAUGGUCCAAGAGGUACAAGAUCAUCCUCGACCUAGGCUCUGCACUGCAAUACCUCCAUGUAGAUUGCGAGCAACACCAACAGUGUAUUGUACACGGUGAUAUCAAGUCCAGCAACGUGUUGCUUGGGUCUUCAAGUGGUGCCAAGUUAGGUGACUUUGGAUUGACAAGAUUUGUUCACCAAGAAACUGGGUCAAAGACCACAGACCUUUUGCAGGGCACUUGGGGAUAUAUAGACCCUGUGUUCCUCAACACGAGCCAGCGGAACAGGCAGUCAGACAUCUACAGUUUUGGCAUUGUCCUACUAGAGAUGGUCUCUGGAAGGGACCCAACGGCGAGUCUCAAUGGUAUGCCUCCGUUGUCGUCAUGGGUAAGGAGUUUGUACCACGACGAUGCGAUCCUUGAGGCUGCAAAUGACAGCUUGAUAGGCGGCGAGUCUAGUACUGAGCGACAACAAAUGGAGCGUGUGCUACUUGUCGGGCUCUUGUGUGUGCAUCAGGACCCGAGCAGCCGGCCGUCCAUCACGCACGCCAUGGAUUCCCUGCGAUCAGAGGAGCUAAAACUGGACAUCACUCCCUUGGCACCGGUGACACUAUCCCUACCAUAG
rnacentral:rRNA from 1 species